UGCAGUCGAGCGAGAAAGUCUUCGGACUUUUUCUAGCGGCGGACGGGUGAGUAACACGUGGGCAACCUGCCUGGUAGAGGGGGAUAGCCUUCCGAAAGGAAGAUUAAUACCGCAUAACAUGAUUUCAGGGCAUCCUGAAAUCAUCAAAGGAGCAAUCCGCUAUCAGAUGGGCCCGCGUCCCAUUAGCUAGUUGGUGAGGUAACGGCUCACCAAGGCGACGAUGGGUAGCCGACCUGAGAGGGUGAUCGGCCACAUUGGGACUGAGACACGGCCCAGACUCCUACGGGAGGCAGCAGUGGGGAAUAUUGCGCAAUGGGGGAAACCCUGACGCAGCGACGCCGCGUGAGCGAAGAAGGCCUUAGGGUUGUAAAGCUCUGUUUUAAGGGACGAAUGUCGUGGGGAGUAAUAUGCUCUGCGAAUGACGGUACCUUAAGAGGAAGCCCCGGCUAACUACGUGCCAGCAGCCGCGGUAAGACGUAGGGGGCGAGCGUUGUCCCGAAUUACUGGGCGUAAAGAGCACGUAGGCGGGAACUUAAGUCAGGUGUGAAAGACCGGGGCUCAACUCCGGGGGUUGCACUUGAAACUGGGUUUCUUGAGGGCAGGAGAGGAAAGCAGAAUUCCUGGUGUAGCGGUGAAAUGCGUAGAAAUCAGGAGGAAUACCAGUGGCGAAGGCGGCUUUCUGGACUGACCCUGACGCUGAGGUGCGAAAGCGUGGGUAGCAAACAGGAUUAGAUACCCUGGUAGUCCACGCCGUAAACGAUGGAUACUAGGUGUGGGAGGUAUCGACCCCU
rnacentral:rRNA from 1 species